GAUGAACGCUGGCGGCGUGCCUAAUACAUGCAAGUCGAGCGGACGGACGAGAAGCUUGCUUCUCUGAUGUUAGCGGCGGACGGGUGAGUAACACGUGGAUAACCUACCUGUAAGACUGGGAUAACUUCGGGAAACCGGAGCUAAUACCGGAUGAUAUUUUGAACCGCAUGGUUCAAUAGUGAAAGACGGUCUUGUUGGCAGUUAUGGAUGGAUCCGCGCUGGAUUAGCUGGUUGGUGGGGUAGUGGCUUACCAAGGCUAUGCUGGGUAGCCGGCCUGGGAGGGUGACCGGCCACAUUGGGACUGAGAUACGGACCAGAAUCCUACGGGAGGCAGCAGGGGGGAAUAUUGCACAAUGGGCGGAAGCCUGAUGCAGCAACGCCGCGUGCGGGAUGACGGCCUUCGGGUGGUAAACAGCUUUCGCCUGUGACGAAGCGUGAGUGACGGUAAUGGGUAAAGAAGCACCGGCUAACUACGUG
rnacentral:rRNA from 1 species